AGAGUUUGAUCCUGGCUCAGGAUGAACGCUGGCGGCGUGCUUAACACAUGCAAGUCGAACGAAGCAACUUCUUGCUUGCAAGAAGUUGACUUAGUGGCGGACGGGUGAGUAACGCGUGGGUAACCUGCCUCAUACAGGGGGAUAACAGUUGGAAACGACUGCUAAGACCGCAUAACCCGCUAGUGUCGCAUGACACGGACGGAAAAUAUUUAUAGGUAUGAGAUGGGCCCGCGUCUGAUUAGCUAGUUGGUAAGGUAACGGCUUACCAAGGCGACGAUCAGUAGCCGACUUGAGAGAGUGAUCGGCCACAUUGGGACUGAGACACGGCCCAAACUCCUACGGGAGGCAGCAGUGGGGAAUAUUGGACAAUGGGGGAAACCCUGAUCCAGCGACGCCGCGUGAGUGAAGAAGUAUUUCGGUAUGUAAAGCUCUAUCAGCAGGGAAGAUAAUGACAGUACCUGACUAAGAAGCCCCGGCUAACUACGUGCCAGCCGCCGC
rnacentral:rRNA from 1 species